GGUCUGUCCCUGAUGCUGCGCGCAGAGCAGAAUGACUUCAUUCCCCUGCUGUCCACAGUGACUGGGGCCCGGGUAAUGGUGCACGGGCAGGAUGAACCUGCCUUUAUGGAUGAUGGUGGCUUUAACUUGCGGCCUGGCGUGGAGACCUCCAUCAGCAUGAGGAAGGAAACCCUGGACAGACUUGGGGGCGAUUAUGGCGACUGCACCAAGAAUGGCAGUGAUGUUCCUGUCGAGAACCUUUACCCUUCAAAGUACACACAGCAGGUGUGUAUUCACUCCUGCUUCCAGGAGAGCAUGAUCAAGGAGUGUGGCUGUGCCUACAUCUUCUAUCCGCGGCCCCAGAACGUGGAGUACUGUGACUACAGAAAGCACAGUUCCUGGGGCCGGGCGCGGUGGCUCACGCCUGUAAUGCCAGCACUUUGGGAGGCCAAGGCGGGCGGAUCACGAGGUCAGGAGAUCGAGACCAUCCUGGCUAACACGGUGAAACCCCGUCUCUACUAAAAAUACAAAAAAUUAGCCGGGCGAGGUGGCGGGCGCCUGUAGUCCCAGCUAC
rnacentral:sRNA from 1 species